rnacentral:rRNA from 1 species
UUUGCUAAUGACGGUACCAGCAGAAGAAGCACCGGCUAACUACGUGCCAGCAGCCGCGGUAAUACGUAGGGUGCGAGCGUUAAUCGGAAUUACUGGGCGUAAAGCGUGCGCAGGCGGAUUGUUAAGCAAGACGUGAAAUCCCCGGGCUUAACCUGGGAAUGGCGUUUUGAACUGGCAGUCUAGAGUGCGUCAGAGGGGGGUGGAAUUCCACGUGUAGCAGUGAAAUGCGUAGAGAUGUGGAGGAACACCGAUGGCGAAGGCAGCCCCCUGGGAUGACACUGACGCUCAUGUACGAAAGCGUGGGUAGCAAACAGGAUUAGAUACCCUGGUAGUCCACGCCCUAAACGAUGUCAACUGGUUGUUGGGGGAGUGAAAUCCCUUAGUAACGAAGCUAACGCGUGAAGUUGACCGCCUGGGGAGUACGGUCGCAAGAUUAAAACUCAAAGGAAUUGACGGGGACCCGCACAAGCGGUGGAUGAUGUGGAUUAAUUCGAUACAACGCGAAAAACCUUACCUACCCUUGACAUGUCCAGAACCCUGAAGAGAUUUGGGGGUGCCCGAAAGGGAAUUGGAACACAGGUGCUGCAUGGCUGUCGUCAGCUCGUGUCGUGAGAUGUUGGGUUAAGUCCCGCAACGAGCGCAACCCUUAUCAUUAGUUGCUACGCAAGGGCACUCUAAUGAGACUGCCGGUGACAAACCGGAGGAAGGUGGGGAUGACGUCAAGUCCUCAUGGCCCUUAUGGGUAGGGCUUCACACGUCAUACAAUGGUCGGUACAGAGGGUUGCCAAGCCGCGAGGUGGAGCCAAUCCCAGAAAGCCGAUCGUAGUCCGGAUUGUUCUCUGCAACUCGAGAGCAUGAAGUCGGAAUCGCUAGUAAUCGCGGAUCAGCAUGUCGCGGUGAAUACGUUCCCGGGUCUUGUACACACCGCCCGUCACACCAUGGGAGUGGAAUCUGGCAGAAGUAGGUAGCCUAACCGCAAGGGGGGCGCUUACCACGCUGGGUUUCAUGACUGGGGUGAAGUCGUAACAAGGUAGCCGAAUCUCUGAAGAUCCGCGCGACCGGUCAC